rnacentral:rRNA from 1 species
CCUACGGGUGGCAGCAGUGGGGAAUAUUGGACAAUGGGCGAAAGCCUGAUCCAGCCAUGCCGCGUGUGUGAAGAAGGCCUUCGGGUUGUAAAGCACUUUCAGUGGGGAAGAAAGCCUUGGGGCUAAUACCCUCGAGGAAGGACAUCACCCACAGAAGAAGCACCGGCUAACUCCGUUCCAGCAGCCGCGGUAAUACGGAGGGUGCGAGCGUUAAUCGGAAUUACUGGGCGUAAAGCGCGCGUAGGCGGUCUGAUAAGCCGGUUGUGAAAGCCCCGGGCUCAACCUGGGAACGGCAUCCGGAACUGUCAGGCUAGAGGGCAGGAGAGGAAGGUAGAAGUCCCGGUGUAGAGGUGAAAUGCGUAGAGAUCGGGAGGAAUACCAGUGGCGAAGGCGGCCUUCUGGACUGACACUGACGCUGAGGUGCGAAAGCGUGGGUAGCAAACAGGAUUAGAUACCCUAGUAGUC